rnacentral:rRNA from 1 species
AGAGAGAGACAUGCGCGCAUAUCAAUAAGCGGAGGAAAAGAAACUAACAAGGAUUCCCUUAGUAACGGCGAGUGAAGCGGGAAGAGCUCAAAUUUGAAAUCUUCAAGGUUCUACCUUGACGAAUUGUAGUUUAAAGAAGUGUUUUCUGCUGGAAGUCUUGGUAAAAGUUCUUUGGAAUAGGACAUCAUAGAGGGUGAGAAUCCCGUAUUUGACCAUUAUUUCAGCUUUGUGAUACACUUUCAAGAGUCGGAUUGUUUGGGAAUGCAGUCCAAAAUGGGUGGUAAAUUUCAUCUAAAGCUAAAUAUUGGCGAGAGACCGAUAGCGAACAAGUACCGUGAGGGAAAGAUGAAAAGAACUUUGAAAAGAGAGUUAAACAGUACGUGAAAUUGUCAAAAGGGAAGCGUUUGACACCAGUGUUGUUUUCUCGAAAAUCAAUUAAAAAUGGCUCGAUUUUGUAUUGCUGAGACCUUAAAAGCUCACUGUACAUUUUUCGUGUCUUUUUUAAUGCACUUUUCGUUUAACAAGUCAACAUCAGUUUCUUUUGUUGUAAAAGGGUCAUUGGAAGGUGGCUUUCUUUUCGGAGAAAGUGUUUAUAGCCUUUGGCCUCUGCAAUCGGAGAGACUGAGGUCUGCAGCGUAGACUCUUCGGGGUUAGAUACAUUUGUGCUAAGUUAUAGCUUUUUAUAGACAACUUGUUGACUAUAAUUAGUCUUGUAGCUUACUCGCUUAUGCUAUUUUACCUACGCUUAGGAUGUUGAAGAUGUAGCACAUCAU